rnacentral:sRNA from 1 species
GGAAGGUUGUAGUGGAGCAUUGAAACACUUGACCUGAUAAAAUUAAAAACUAUUAGAUCCUUCAAACACCCUAAG